CAAGUUCGUUCGAUCAAAUUAAAGCUGAAAGAAAACUUGAUUUUAGUAAGUUCAAUCGAAUCAAUAACAUCAUUUUGAAGAAUCUAAGCCACGUUACGGUGGAUUUUGGAGACCCUUUCGAAUACACAGUCCAUACUUCUGCAUGAGUCGAUACUGGACUGCCAAAAUUCGUUCACGUGAGCAUCGCUGGAAUGACACACUCGAAAUUGAACAAUUCAGUCGCUCAAUUUACACAAGCAUUAAUUGGUUUUCCUUCUUCAAUGAGUACGAUUUUUCAGGUUGCUGCUCAUACCAAAUGAGAACCUAUGCAUUUUAUGGCCAGAAUCAAGGAAUUUCCCCCAAAGAUUACAUUAACAAGUUAACCGAUUUUGCAAGUGAGGGGAAAAGCUUGAGACAAAUCAGGGUGCGAUUUGAUGUCGACUUAUGCUUGAACGUGAUAUUUGAAAUCAGUUUCGGAUCAGACCAACGUGAACUCAAAAUCUAUGGAGGUGAUCCAAGGGCAAACUUCAUGCUUCCUUUGCUUCAUGCAGGAAACACUGUGAUUUCAUUUGAAAUCAGCGAAUUACGGAAAGAACUCAAUUUUGAUUGGUUCAAGUUCAACGUGCUGUGUCUCGGACAAAAUUGGAUUUGCAAUGUUUUUCCAGUUAAUGCAUCAAAUUUGAUUGUUUAAAACACCAUCAAAACACUGGGGAGGGGGAUAUUUGAACUAGAAAAAAGCUCAAAAGAUUAGUUAUGUCUUUUGGUUGGUA